CCUACGGGAGGCUGCAGUGAGGAAUAUUGGUCAAUGGACGCAAGUCUGAACCAGCCAUGCCGCGUGCAGGAAGACGGCUCUAUGAGUUGUAAACUGCUUUUGUACGAGGGUAAACGCAGAUACGCGUAUCUGUCUGAGAGUAUCGUACGAAUAAGGAUCGGCUAACUCCGUGCCAGCAGCCGCGGUAAUACGGAGGAUUCAAGCGUUAUCCGGAGUUAUUGGGGUUAAAGGGUGCGUAGGCGGUCGGAUAAGUUAGAGGUGAAAUCCCGAGGCUCAACGUCGGAAUUGCCUCUGAUACUGGUAGUCUAGAGAGUAGUUGCGGUAGGCGGAAUGUACGGUGUAGCGGCGAAAUGCUUAGAGAUCGUACAGAACACCGAUUGCGAAGGCAGCUUACCAAG
rnacentral:rRNA from 1 species